rnacentral:rRNA from 1 species
AUUGAACGCUGGCGGCAGGCUUAACACAUGCAAGUCGAGCGGGCGAGGUUGCUUCGGUAACUGAGCUAGCGGCGGACGGGUGAGUAAUGCUUAGGAAUCUGCCUAUUAGUGGGGGACAACAUUCCGAAAGGAAUGCUAAUACCGCAUACGCCCUACGGGGGAAAGCAGGGGAUCUUCGGACCUUGCGCUAAUAGAUGAGCCUAAGUCAGAUUAGCUAGUUGGUGGGGUAAAGGCCUCCCAAGGCGACGAUCUGUAGCGGGUCUGAGAGGAUGAUCCGCCACACUGGGACUGAGACACGGCCCAGACUCCUACGGGAGGCAGCAGUGGGGAAUAUUGGACAAUGGGCGCAAGCCUGAUCUAGCCAUGCCGCGUGUGUGAAGAAGGCCUUUUGGUUGUAAAGCACUUUAAGCGAGGAGGAGGCUACUUGGAUUAAUACUCUAGGAUAGUGGACGUUACUCGCAGAAUAAGCACCGGCUAACUCUGUGCCAGCCGCCGCGGUAACAC